GUAAGGUUGACGUCACAGGAAAAUACCAAGUUAUUUAGAUAACCGUUUGUUUCACAAUCUUGCCUUGGACUUUCGGGAAGAACAAGUAAACACAGGAUGUCGGGUGCAGAAUUUGCAGACCUAGUUCACGAAAUGAUGUACGUGCUUAAGGACGAAUUUGAUGUUGGAGAAAUUGACGAUGGUGAUGGGGACUAUUGUGAAACGCCCGAUGAUUGCAGACAUGAAGGAGAUAUUGUUGACGAUGAAGCAAGUCUUAUUCGUGAGCAAAUAGAACUAGACAUAGUUCGCCCGUUAAAUGUAAACGAUGGUCAAGGCAAUGAAGAAAACAACGUUGACAUUUCUCGUGAAAGUAAUGAUUUUUUCGAGAAUUCUUGCGAAAACAAUGACCAUAAUUGUAAUACCUUAUGCGGACGAAUUUUAAGAUUAAUGGGUGACGAAGAGAAUUGUCGAGUUUUGGGGAGACACUUGAGGAACAUUGGCGACGAUGUAUUUCACCGGCAGACAGCUAAAUAUAUGUUUGAACUGCUUGAAGAUUUGAUGGAACACGAUAAUCUUGAAACAGGGACAUUCUAAGUGAAUUACGGGUCCGUGCAUGGCCAAAGAAGAGUUCGCCACAUGUGCACUUUGCCCAAGUCGAAGGCUGUAUUGACACGGUGCGUUCUGCCGUACAUUUUCACUUAAUUGUUGCACAUGUUCAGUGAUGAAAAUUUUGUAGGAUUGUAUUAUAUAUGUCGUAUCUGAAAGAUGAUUCUAAUGAUAAUUAUGUACAGUUGUGAUGCUUUAUUUUUUAUUUAUGUAAAUUGUUUUGUGAUUAAAUGUAAUAAUUACCAA